rnacentral:rRNA from 1 species
CAGCAGCCGCGGUAAUACGAAGGGUGCAAGCGUUAAUCGGAAUUACUGGGCGUAAAGCGUGCGUAGGCGGUUUGUUAAGUCUGUUGUGAAAUCCCCGGGCUCAACCUGGGAAUGGCAAUGGAUACUGGCAAGCUAGAGUGUGUCAGAGGAUGGUGGAAUUCCGCGUGUAGCAGUGAAAUGCGUAGAUAUGCGGAGGAACACCGAUGGCGAAGGCAGCCCCCUGGGCCAACACUGACGCUCAUGCACGAAAGCGUGGGGUGCAAACAGGAUUAGAUACCCGAGUAGUCCCUGUCUCUUAUAA